UACGUAGGGGCCAAGCGUUGUCCGGAUUUAUUGGGCGUAAAGAGCUCGUAGGCGGUUUGGAUAGUCGGGUGUGAAAACUCCGAGCUCAACUCGGAGACGCCACCCGAUACUGCCAUGACUAGAGUCCGGUAGGGGGGCAGGGAAUUCCUGGUGUAGCAGUGAAAUGCGCAGAUAUCAGGAGGAACACCGGUGGCGAAGGCGGCCUGCUGGGCAGUUGCUGACACUGAGGCGCGACAGCGUGGGGAGCAAACAGG
rnacentral:rRNA from 1 species